rnacentral:rRNA from 1 species
UACGAAGGGGGCUAGCGUUGCUCGGAAUCACUGGGCGUAAAGCGCACGUAGGCGGCUUUUUAAGUCAGGGGUGAAAUCCUGGAGCUCAACUCCAGAACUGCCUUUGAUACUGAGAAGCUUGAGUCCGAGAGAGGUGAGUGGAACUCCGAGUGUAGAGGUGAAAUUCGUAGAUAUUCGGAAGAACACCAGUGGCGAAGGCGGCUCACUGGCUCGGUACUGACGCUGAGGUGCGAAAGCGUGGGGAGCAAAC